rnacentral:rRNA from 1 species
AGUGAACGCUGGCGGCAGGCCUAACACAUGCAAGUCGAACGGACACACAGUAAGCUUUCGCCUCUACCGGUGGCGACUGGCGGAUGGGUGAGGCGUACAUCGGCAACCUCUAUUACGUGGGGGACAACGUAAGGCCGGUUAUGAUACCACCUCAUAUGUUCUACGGGUGAAAGCAGUAGAGCUUCAGAGUUUUCGCGUCUCUUUGAGCCGAUGCCGGAUUAGCUAGUUGGCGUGGUAAAGGCCCACCAAGGCGACGAUACGUAGCUGAUCUGAGAGGAUGAUCAGCCACACUGGAACUGAGACACGGUCCAGACUCCUACGGGAGGCAGCAGUGGGGAAUAUUGGGCAAUGGGCGCAAGCCUGAUCCAGCCAUGCCGCGUGAGUGAAGAAGGCCUUCGGGUUGUAAAGCCCUUUUGUUGGGAAAGAAAAGCAGUGGAAGAAAACACGGCUGUUCUGACGGUACCCAAAGAGAAAGCACCGGCUAACUUCGUG